rnacentral:misc_RNA from 1 species
GAUGAAGAACGUAGCGAAAUGCGAUAAGUAAUGUGAAUUGCAGAAUUCAGUGAAUCAUCGAAUCUUUGAACGCACCUUGCGCCCCUUGGCAUUCCGAGGGGCACGCCUGUUUGAGUGUCGUGAACUCCUCCACCCUCCACCUUUUUCGGAAGGUGUUGGGCUGGGAUUUGGGAGCUUGCGGGUCCCUGGCCGAUCCGCUCUCCUUGAAUACAUUAGCGAAGCCCUUGCGGCCUUGGUGUGAUAGUCAUCUACGCCUCGGUUUAGCGAACAUACGGGAAUCGCUUCCAACCGUCUCGCAAGAGACAAUCACUUCAAACUUGACCUCAAAUCAGGCGGGACUACCCGCUGAACUUAAGCAUAUCAAUAAGCGGAGGA